UUAAUAAGGGUUGGCAAACACUUUAGACAUAACACAUAACAACUUUUCCUUCUUAGUAAUCAAUACAAAAAGGUGUAUAAAGAUUUCGGAAAGUUGACAGAAUUUGAAUCCCGCAUAUGGAGUCCGUCAAAUGGAAACCGGAACUUUAGGUUGUUUGGGUAGCUUUUAUCGACUUACAAAAAAGGGCUGAGUUCGUGCCAUCGAGACGAGUCGCUCACAAACUUCCGGUGUGAGAUUGAAAGCCCCCAUUGACUAAAGGCGGAAAGUCGCUUCGGGCAUUUUCGUAGAGAAAUCACAGCCAAAUAGCACGGGGAAGAGCUCAGUGUUUUACCAUAAGAGUUACAUUAAAGCUGUGCCUAUUGGUUGUUUUUUUACUUAGACGCUCCUGCUAUCUCACCGUGCAGUUCAUUGCCAUGCAAUGCAGUUUCAUGGCCACCAGGGGGAAGAGAUGAGGUUAGACACCCACUCAAGGCGCAAACAAAGCAUGAAGGAAGGUUAGGUGCAGUUAAAAGUGAGGGGGAGGGGGAGAGAAGGGGGUCGUUUGUCUAUUCUUGAAGGACGAUCAGAAGAGUUUUUCUUUUGGAAUCCUUGUGAAAAUCCUACCGUCUCCGUUGCAGCUCGAUUAGAGUCUAGUAGCACCUUGGGGUUCAACAAGAUGUUCAAGAUUCUUCUGCCAGCUUGUCUUGAGAUUCAGCCAUCUCCUCUUCUUUUUCAUACAAGAAAUUGCAAAUCGUGUUUGGUCUGCUAUAUGAGAAAUCUGUUUCCUUAAGCUCCAGCCAUUCCACUCCCCCACCUGCCAUAGAAUGAAAAAGGUUCCAAGGGUAUCUGGAGACAAGAAUGAACACUUUGGAAAGAUACAGCUUCUUUCUAUAUGAUCUAAUUGUCAAAAGACCUAUAUUUACUACAUCAAAUGAAAAUUUAAGAAGAUCAACCUCAGCAGUGGCGUAGGAGCUGGUGCAGCAGCUGGCGUAGGAGGUUAAGCAGCUGGAAGAGCAGCAGUGGCAUAGGAGGUUAAGAGCUGGUGUAUCUA